GACGAACGCUGGCGGCGUGCCUAAUACAUGCAAGUAGAACGCUGAAGAGAGGAGCUUGCUCUUCUUGGAUGAGUUGCGAACGGGUGAGUAACGCGUAGGUAACCUGCCUUGUAGCGGGGGAUAACUAUUGGAAACGAUAGCUAAUACCGCAUAACAAUGGAUGACACAUGUCAUUUAUUUGAAAGGGGCAAUUGCUCCACUACAAGAUGGACCUGCGUUGUAUUAGCUAGUAGGUGAGGUAAUGGCUCACCUAGGCGGCGAUACAUAGCCGACCUGAGAGGGUGGUCGGCCACACUGGGACUGUGACACGGCCCAGACUCCUACGGGAGGGAGCAGUAGGGAAUCUUCGGCAAUGGGGGCAAACCUGACCGAGCAACGCCGCGUGAGUGAAGAAGGUUGUCGGAUCGUAAAGUUCUGUUGUAAGUCAAGAACGGGUGUGAGAGUGGAAAGUUCACACUGUGACGGUAGCUUACCAGAAAGGGACGGCUAACUACGUG
rnacentral:rRNA from 1 species